AAGCACAGCAGGCUCCAGCGCAGCAGCGCGUCCAUGUCUGCGGGGGCACCGUCCUCUUCCACGGGCGACUCUGCAACAACACCUGCGCGUAACUCUACUGGACAUUUAUUUCUUCUCAGCAGUGGAAAAGUGGAAGGCCUGGGAUGAGAUUGUUGAAAGAUUCGACAAGAAAUGGCAGAGAUCACAGGAAUGCGAGGAAGAAGUUGCGGGGGUGCCUGGCCCAGGAGUGGGAUUUUGGUGUAAAGUAGUAACAAGUAAACUCACGCAGCUCUCAGCAGCAUAUCUCCACUUGACAUGACAGCUCGGCCCACGAUGGCUGCUGCAGCGUUGUCUGUCGUGUUUGCAGCUACUAUGGCACCUUUACCAAACUGAGGAAAGCCAACCCCACCUGCUGGUAUUGUCACUCCAGGCAAGUACACUGAGGCACCACCAAGUACCUAAGAGAAACAUUUUGUUUUAAGUCAGGGAUAAAACACUCUACUAAAUCUACUCUCUCAAAGAGUAGAAAAUAAAUUAAUAUGCUGUAUCCUCUUGGCUGUACCACUGGGUGUAAAUCAACCAAUCUUGACCAUUCUAUUUCAUAUUGCAAUGGAAAAAAAUGUAGUUUAUUAUAUAUAUACUAUACCUAA